UAGUGAGUCGUAUUCUGGCCUGAUUGAACGCUGCGAUGCUGGUAAGAAAAGCCGAACGGCAGCACGACCGGUCUGGUGGCGAGUGGCGAACGGUGAGUAAUGUAUCGGAACGUGCCUAGCGGGGAUAACUACGCGAAAGCGGUUAAUACCGCAUACGCCCUUCGGGGGGAAAGCGGGGAUCCUUCGGGCCUCGCACCAGAGCGGCCGAUAUCGACCACAACAGGGUAACGGCUCACUAAGGCGACGAUCUGUAGCUGGUUGAGGAGGACGAACCAGCCGCACUGGGACUGAGACGGCCCAGAUUCCUACGGGAGGCAGUGGGGAAUUUUUGGACAAUGGGGGAAACCUGAUCCAGCCAUCCCGGCGGGGUGAUGGCAUUUUAUUGUAAAGCACCUUGGCAGGAAGAAACGGCACGGGAUAAUACCCUGCAACUGACGGUACCUUCCAGAAUAAGCACCGGUUAACUACGUGCCAGCAGCCGCGGUAAUACGGGUAGGCGUAAGCGUUAAUCGGAAUUACUGGGCGUAAAGCGCAGGCGGUCUUUCCAGAAACGUACAGUGAUGUGAAAUCCCAGAGCUUAACUUUGAACUGCAUUUUUAACUACCGAGCUGAGUGCGUCAGGAGGGAGGCGGAAUUCCGGCGUGUGCAGCAAACGCGGAUGUGCCAGGGAACACUGAUGGCGGAAGGCAGCCUCCUGGGAUAACACGACGCUCAUGCACGAAAGCAAAGGGGGAGCAAACAGGAUUAGAUACCCGGUGUCCACGCCCUAACAAACGAUGUCAAUCAGCUGUUGGGGCCUUCGGGCCUUGUACAGUUAACGCGUGAAGUUGACCGGGCCUGGGGAGUACGUCGCAAGAUUAAAACUAAAGGAAUUGACGGGGACUCCGCACAAGCGGUGGAUGAUGGAUUACCUUGAUGCAACGCGAAAACCCUACUCUACCCUUGAUGAUGUCUGAAUCCGAAGAGAUCUGGGAGUGCUCGCAAGAGGAACUGGAACACAGGUGCUGGCCGGUUGCCGUCAGCUCGUGUCGUGAGAUGUUGGGUUAAGUCCCGCAACGAGCAACCCUUGUCAUUAGUUGCUACGAAAGGGCACUAUCGAGACUGCCGGUGACAAACCGAGGAAGCGGUGGGAUGACGUCAGUUCAUGGCCUUUAUGGGUAGGGUCACACGUCAUACAAUGGUCGGGACAGAGGUCGCCAACCCGCGAGGGGAGCCAAUCCCAGAAACCCGAUCAUGUAGUCUGAUCGCAGUCUGCAACUCGACUGCGUGAGUUUCGGAAUCGCCAGUAAUCGCGGAUCAGCAUGUUGCAUAUCGAUGUUCCUCAAGUCUGUACACACCGUCCGUCACACCAUGGGAGUGGGUUUUACCAGAAGUAGUUAGCUUCAACUGUAAGGAGGGCGAUUACCACGGUAGGAUCUGCUGAUCAAAUGCGUCAUGUAG
rnacentral:rRNA from 1 species